rnacentral:lncRNA from 1 species
GUUACUUCAAAGGGAGAAGGCAAUUUACAGGAAGAAAAUUUAGAUUUAGUUUUAAAAAGAUGUACCCAAGACUACCUCAAAGAGAACAAUCAAUCGAAUCUUGAGUAAAAUAUAAUCCUUCUGAUCCUCCUCCAAGUGAAAGGGAAAAAAGUUGAAAAUGCAAACUUGCAAGAAAUUACCCAUUAGUAGUAAUCAGGUGCAUCUGGGAUCCAAUCCAUCGGAGAGCGAGGCACUCAAUUUGAAUGGUACAGACUGCACCGAAACACAAAUGAUCAGCAUCCCAUCACAGCACAAUUGUAAACAAAACUGCCAGAUUGUUUUCGGCCGAGCAAAACCCAUUGCGGCGGACCUUCAAUUGGAACCCAUGCAUUGACUUCGAUAUAUCCCUGACCAACAGUCCGAGGCCCUCCAAUUACAAUAAGCCUAUCGCCACAUGCCCUAAACGCCAAACCCCAACCAUUCGUAGAAUCAGCUCGUUCUGGCAAUCUUCCUACGGUAAUCCACACUUUAUUAUUCUUGUCAUACUUUCUCAGUGCCAUGUCAGCAUAAUCAGCAGCAUAUAAUUCAUUAUUUACAACAGCAAUCAACGGAGGUGCUUCGGACGUAGCAGGUCGAUCGAAUUCCCUGGCCACAUCAGUCCGCACUGGGGACAUGUUAGGUAUUUCAGUCCAAGUCUCGGUUUCCAGAUUAUAUUCCUCUCCACAUGUGAGAAGCUUCGACUCUGUUCCUCCAAUUCCUCCAAUCACAUAAAACUUUCCAUCCAUGAACACCCCAGAACACAUCUUCCUCGGUUUCUUCAUGCUUGGAAGUGUCUUCCAAAUUCCCAAUUCAGAAUUAUAGAGCUCUGCGGAACCCUAAAGUUUACAGCGGUGUACUCACUUCAGUGGUCCUGAAAAGACUCGAAUUGAUGACCAUUGGGGAGUAAACCCAAUGUCUGAUCAUUGAGCUACUUCUCAGAGUUGAGACUUGAAUAUUUUACUACCACAUAAUUAUCAAAUAGCUAUCUUAAAAACACAAAGUUAUUAGAAAAUGUUCAACACAAGUAAAAUGAAGAUAACAUAGCAUUAUGGACACUGUCAAAAUCAACAGUAUACAGAUAAUUUGUAAUUCAAAACUAAAGAAAAUUUUCCUCACUUUUGAAACAAGUUAUUCUAUCAAUAAAACAGGUUCAGAUAUCAAAAUUAAGAGAAUUAGUUUGAACUUUCCAUUUUAUAUAUCGAAGAGAGAACUUCACCAAAAACAUGGUUUACAUCAUUCAAAGGGUCAAAUAAUAGCGAUUCAAUGACUGGAGUCACUUGACGUAUUUAAGAACCAGAAUAAAACGUUAUAGAAAUAUGCAAGAACAUCCAUUCAAACUAGCCAAAGAAAAGCAUAAACUUCGGGAUAAAAGAGAACAGGAAGCUGCUAUAAAGCUGCAAAGAGUAACCGAAGAAAAAAGAUCACUUUAUAGCCGAUGCUCCCAGUAAACAUGUUCAUGCCUUAUUGUUUUCCCCUUCAUACAAUUCCAAGAACUUGAAAAAUCGAAUCACUGAAUUCUAUGAGAUAACCUUCAUAAGACACCAACGAAAACCUAUAAAUGUAUUCCUCCUAGAAGUUAUUCGAACAUUUUUCUGCGCAAAGGUCAACUUUGAUAUUUUCUCAUGUUACUUCAAAGGGAGAAGGCAAUUUACAGGAAGAAAAUUUAGAUUUAGUUUUAAAAAGAUGUACCCAAGACUACCUCAAAGAGAACAAUCAAUCGAAUCUUGAGUAAAAUAUAAUCCUUCUGAUCCUCCUCCAAGUGAAAGGGAAAAAAGUUGAAAAUGCAAACUUGCAAGAAAUUACCCAUUAGUAGUAAUCAGGUGCAUCUGGGAUCCAAUCCAUCGGAGAGCGAGGCACUCAAUUUGAAUGGUACAGACUGCACCGAAACACAAAUGAUCAGCAUCCCAUCACAGCACAAUUGUAAACAAAACUGCCAGAUUGUUUUCGGCCGAGCAAGACCCAUUGCGGCGGACCUUCAAUUGGAACCCAUGCAUUGACUUCGAUAUAUCCCUGACCAACAGUCCGAGGCCCUCCAAUUACAAUAAGCCUAUCGCCACAUGCCCUAAACGCCAAACCCCAACCAUUCGUAGAAUCAGCUCGUUCUGGCAAUCUUCCUACGGUAAUCCACACUUUAUUAUUCUUGUCAUACUUUCUCAGUGCCAUGUCAGCAUAAUCAGCAGCAUAUAAUUCAUUAUUUACAACAGCAAUCAACGGAG